GGAGGAGUACAGGGAAUAUUCUCUCUGAGGCUGUAGCACCAUGUCAGUGUAUUCUGUUCUGUACUAUCCAACUUCUUUCCUGAUGUUUCCUCUGCUUGAUUUGAGGCCAUGAACCAUUACUAUUUGGGCUUAGGUCAUCAAAGCUGUCUCCUACUAUUUCUUCUCUUUAUUUCAUGUUGUUUGCUAUAAUCUUGGCUUGAGGUAUGAGUCCCUGAGCUGGUUUCUGUAGUCAACGUGGCACAGGCAGGGAAGAUCCUAACUCUGGGCAUGAAGUCUAAGAUGCUACUCUCUGAUGGCAAACUGCUGGAUUCAUCAAAAUUCUCUUCCACCUAUAGCUAACUUAGGAAGGUUCCUCUCCAAAGAUCAAUCAUGAUCCUGAAAUCAGCUUUGCCAAUCUAGAAGCCAGAAGAGAGAUUUAUGUUGAUCAAGACACUCAGUUCCUUGGCAUUUUCCAGCUGUCUACCAAUUGUCCUUGAAUCAUGUGAGAAGAAAUGUGGACAAAGAACAUAGAUUUCUGGAUUCUCUAGAAAUUUGAAUAAAGGCCUCCUUACCUUUUUUAAUUUAAUGCGA
rnacentral:lncRNA from 1 species